rnacentral:rRNA from 1 species
GCGGAAGGAUCAUUAUCGAGUUUUGACUGGGUUGUAGCUGGCCUUCCGAGGCAUGUGCACGCCCUGCUCAUCCACUCUACACCUGUGCACUUACUGUGGGUUUCAGAUGCCGUUAGCGGGCCUUCGCGGGGUCGUGAAAGCGUCUGGGCCUGCGUUUAUUACAAACUCUUAUCAGUAUCAGAAUGUGUAUUGCGAUGUAACGCAUCUAUAUACAACUUUCAGCAACGGAUCUCUUGGCUCUCGCAUCGAUGAAGAACGCAGCGAAAUGCGAUAAGUAAUGUGAAUUGCAGAAUUCAGUGAAUCAUCGAAUCUUUGAACGCACCUUGCGCUCCUUGGUAUUCCGAGGAGCAUGCCUGUUUGAGUGUCAUGAAAUCUUCAACCUAUAAACCUUUGCGGGUUUAUUAGGCUUGGACUUGGAGGCUUGUCGGCCCAGCUGGUGUCGGCUCCUCUCAAAUGCAUUAGCUUGAUUCCUUGCGGAUCGGCUCUCGGUGUGAUAAUUGUCUACGCCGUGACCGUGAAGCGUUUGGCGAGCUUCUAACCGUCUCGCAUGAGACAAUUCAUUGACCUCUGACCUCAAAUCAGGUAGGACUACCCG